UCUCCGUAGGUGAACCUGCGGAGGGAUCAUUACCGAGUGAGGGCUCACGCCCGACCUCCAACCCUUUGUGAACCCAUCUUGUUGCUUCGGGGGCGACCCUGCCGGCACUCUGUCGCCGGGCGCCCCCGAAGGUCUCCAAACACUGCAUCUUUGCGUCUGAGUAAACAUUAAAUGAAACAAAACUUUCAACAACGGAUCUCUUGGUUCUGGCAUCGAUGAAGAACGCAGC
rnacentral:misc_RNA from 1 species